GGUUAAGAGUGUCAGUGCAAAGCCCCGGCUGGCUGACCGGCAACCCUCGCACCGCGGCGGGGUGCCCCCGGGGAGAGACCUGGCGGCACGGUGGGCGUGCCGCAAGCGCGAACC
rnacentral:ncRNA from 1 species